UCCUGGGGAUAGUUCAGUCAGCAGGGCAUGAGACUCUUAAUCUCAGGGUUGUUAGUUCAAGCCCCAUGUUGGGCA